rnacentral:sRNA from 1 species
CCUUAGCCCCGAUUGAAGUGAAAAUCCUUUUUAUCUCGUCUUUUGGGACGAGAUAAAAAGAUUGCAACGAAAAGCGGGAACAAUG